UUUUUUUUUUUUUUUUUUUUUGGUUGAGGUUUCAGUGAACUUGCUGUGUUGUUGUUGUAUUACCAUUUUGUCAAGAGUGUAAAUGUUGGUCUCUUGGUCAAAGUCCUUUUUUUGCUUACCUGACUGUUGACGUAUUAAGGACAGGUUUGUUGUCUUGUUUGUGAUUGUCCUAGAAGUAAGCAAUGAUGUUUUCUAGGUCCAGAUUAGUCCUUCAUUCCCAGUUGUAGCCUGGAUACAGUGUGAGAAUAGAAUGGCUGGCAAGAAAAGGAACUUUCUUUUCCCCAUCUUAUUUAAGCCUUGUAAAUUAGUUGAUUUUUUUUUUUUUUUUGGCCUGGGAAAUUUGAGGCCCCGACUCUUUCCCUGCUACUAAAAUACAGCAGAUGAAACCGUACAGUCCAACUCAGAAAGGUCAAGGUGGAAAGAUCCUUUGUUAGGAGUGUGGUGAGGUGAUGUCUUGUGUUGGGUUAGAGUACCUCUUUUCUCACUUACCUUACGUCCCAUCUGUCUGCUGUAGCAGUUAGUCUUUACACCUGUCUUGAGCUAACACCUGUGUGCUAUAUUUGCAAACUGUGAGACCUUUUCCCAGCAGCCAGCUAGAACUGAUAUGGGAGUAGAAAGCCAUCCUCAUGCAUUCAUUCAUUACCUGUAUGGAGGAGUGUGUUCUUAAGAGAAAUCAGUGCUGUGUGGUGUAGAAGAAAGUAAAAUUUGGCUUUAAAAAAUACAUGUGAUUGACAGUAUAUUUUAGAAUAAGAAAUUUUAGGUUGUGAUCCUAUCAGUAUAUUUAAAAUGUAUAGUUUAGGGUAGUCAUGUAAACUUUGUGGGCUCCUCUAUCUCCUCUCGUUUGCAGAUAGCAUAAGCAUUCAUAUCUGGCUAGUCUUGGGGGUAGAACUGAAAUUAUUAAAGUCAAGGCUGGUGGUGUAGCUUUUAGUGAUAGACUUGCAUGGCAGGUGUGAGGCACUAGUCCAUUCCUAGGACUUCAAAAAACUGAAAAACCCAACAAAAAUAGUGCAUUUUUUAUUUUUGCACCCUCUGACAGGAAGCUGCUGACAUUACCAGUGUAACAGGAGAUAUUUAGGUGUGUCACCCUUUCUUGCUUGGUAGCAGUUUGGACUGCUUGUUUGUGCCGUGGGAUAUAUGACACUGGCUUUUAUCAGGCCAUGGUUAAAGACUGACUGGAAAGUGGGGCCUGAGAGUGCAGGCCUGUGCUCCCAGGCACACAGGAGGCUGAGGCACAAGGAUGGCAAAUUCAAGGCUUCAGGAUAGCCUGAAUUCCUGUGACAGGAAAACAACCCAAAAGGCUGGGAGGAGGAGUGGGGGGGAUGUUUCAGUGACUGUUUGCCUCAAAUGUUUAAGGCCUUGGGUUCAACCCCUCAUUGGGCAGUGUGGUGUCAUGAGGCUGACUCUAAUUUCCCAUCUUGAGGGAUGAGGUAUGAUUGCUGUAUAUUGUUGGACAUGUAGAUUAGCCUUCUUCAUGGUUCUUUUUGCAGGGUUAGAAUAAGGUAUUGAGUUAUUUUGUUAGUUUGCUUUUUGAGACAGGCAGGGUUUUGCUGAUAGUCCAGGCUGGCCUGGAACUCGCACCUCUGUUUCCUUUUCCUGAGUACAGGUUUAGGCUCUUGAAAGCGUCUGGGAAUGUAGAAGGCUUUUCAGCUGCAUGGUCAAUUAAGAGACAGGUUGUUCCACAGGUUCUUGCUUUGUUGCUUAAGUGUGGGUUCUGUUAGACAUCUAGACAUCAUUAAAGCUCUUGCCAAAAGUAUCAUUUUUUCCUUUUUAGAGACAGAGGGUGUGAUGUCCCACCUGCAGUGUUGUCUAGGCUGGUCUCAAGUACCUGGGCUCAAGCCCUCCUCUUGCCUCAGCCUGUGAAGCAGCUGGGACUCAAGGUCUGUGCUGUCACUGUGCAUGACCUUGAAAUUCAGUUUCAGAUGCAACAAACAUUGCACUUAAGGGUUAUGUUUCUGGUGUUGUGAUUCUACUUGAGAGUUUAGAAGUGUCAUGUUGCUAAUUAGUUGUGUUCGUUGUGGGCUUGUAAAGCAAUAAAAUUGGUUUUGGUCUCUUUGUAAAGUAGUGUGCUGCUGUUUGAAUUCUUCCAAAUGGAGAAUGAAUUGUUCAUGUUCCUUGGAGGCAGAAGAAGCCUGGAGGGGGGUAAGCCUGAGUUGUGUAAUGAUGACACCAACCAAGACACUAGCCACUCCCAGGGCUUUAAUGUAAGUACAGAUAAUGUUUGUGUGAUCACCUCCAUGAGGAAA
rnacentral:lncRNA from 1 species